GAUGAACGCUGGCGGCGUGCCUACUACAUGCAAGUCGAGCGAACAGACGAGGAGCUUGCUCCUCUGACGUUAGCGGCGGACGGGUGAGUAACACGUGGAUAACCUACCUAUAAGACUGGGAUAACUUCGGGAAACCGGAGCUAAUACCGGAUAAUAUAUUGAACCGCAUGGUUCAAUAGUGAAAGACGGUUUUGCUGUCACUUAUAGAUGGAUCCGCGCCGCAUUGGCUAGUUGGUAAGGUAACGGCUUACCAAGGCAACGAUGCGUAGCCGACCUGAGAGGGUGAUCGGCCACACUGGAACUGAGACACGGUCCAGACUCCUACGGGAGGCAGCAGUAGGGAAUCUUCCGCAAUGGGCGAAAGCUUGACGGAGCAACGCCGCGUGAGUGAUGAAGGUCUUCGGAUCGUAAAACUCUGUUAUUAGGGAAGAACAAAUGUGUAAGUAACUAUGCACGUCUUGACGGUACCUAAUCAGAAAGCCACGGCUAACUACGUG
rnacentral:rRNA from 1 species